rnacentral:tRNA from 2 species
GUUCAAGUCCCUCCAUCCCCA